rnacentral:rRNA from 1 species
GGGUCAGUAGGUUGGUCGUGCCACCGGUACGUACUGGUCUCACUGAUUCCUCCUUCCUGAAGAACCGUAAUGCCAUUAAUUUGGUGUUGCGGGGAAACAGGACUGUUACUUUGAAAAAUUAGAGUGUUUAGAGCAAGCUAACGCUUGAAUACAUUAGCAUGGAAUAAUGAAAUAGGACGAUCGAUCCUAUUUUGUUGGUUUCUAGGAUUGACGUA